rnacentral:lncRNA from 1 species
UCCUCAUGGACCCAGAAGGGCGAGUGCCACCCCAGCUCAAGACCAGUAUCCCAGUCCCUUCCCGGGAGGGCAUCCUCCUCACUGCACUCACGUGUUUCCUUGGAUGCCUCUGAUUUUACACCUGAAUUGAGACCCAGGGGCUUUGACAAGUUUGGAAGCUGAAACAUAAAGAGACAAGGAGCUGAGGCCAAAGAAAGAAGGGUAUCUAUUUUCCCUCGAGCAUCUACCUGCCAGGCUGAAGAGCUGCCUGCGCUUAGGGGAGCAGCCUGUGCGUUCUGAGUCGCCCUGCGGGAUUUGCGGCACCUGCAGCAAGAGCUUUUCCGCGCACGCGCAGGAGCGCCCUGACGUCCUCGCCGCCCAGCCUGGCUUCCUCCCUGCACACCGUUCACACCGGUCCCCUUCACACCGAUUCCUGUGAAGCCGGCGGAGUCCUGGUCUCUGUGCUCCUCUUACUCACCUCUAUGGACGGCGGGGACCACGGAGCAGCCAUUCCUGCCUGCGACUCCUCUGAAGCACCCCAGCUAAUAAAUGAAGACAGACAGAGAGAAUUAGAACACCACACUUUGUAACCACCAGUGAACUAAAGGAUUUGGCAAUGAUCGUCAAAAACUGCUGAUAUCACAAAAAAAAGAGAGCGACAACAAAUAUUAUGUUCUCCCAAUGGAUGUCCAUAAUAUCAUCUACAAAAUGUUCUUGCCAAAAUAGUUAAUUUGAGCCUGAGGAAGCCUCUUGAUUUUUCAUUUACAGGCAACCCAAGGGAUGGAGGCCCAUGAUAAAUGAUACGAUAGUAACGUGAUCAGCAAAACCCAGCCAGGAAAUGAUGAGUCAGGAAAACCAACCAAGUUCUUGAAGGACCAAAAAACUGCAAAAUGAGAUAAUAAGAGAUUGAAAGACGGGAAUCGAUAGAUGCAAAGGGAUGAACAUAAGGGACCUGUUUAUCCAUGACAAUGUGAGGAGUUUGUUUGGAUUCCAAUUUAAACUAUAAAAAUAUUUAUAGGACCACUGAGGAAAUGUGAGCACUGUUUGGAUAGGUGGUUCUACUGAAGAACUAUUGCUGGCGCUUUUGGAGUACAAUGAUGGCAUCAUGGUCACGUCUUUCAAGAGGGAGGAUUUGUUCUUUAUAGACUUGUUUUUUAGGCCUCUGGAUGGCGGCGUUGGUAGCUGUAAUGAUAAGUGUCCAGCAGAAUACCAAGUAUUGGUUAUCACUUCCCAGGAACAGACCACUGUGCCUGGGUUUCCAGUCCCAGAGGAGAACGCCUUACACAGAGAAGAAAUAGCAUGGCCUCAGGUCUCUCCCAGCAGCCAGUGCAGGGCAGUUCCCCCACACGUACGCCUUUCAGGGUGGAAGGACCCCAACUCCUCUUCCAUGGAGAGGCUGUCGUACUGAAGGCUGGGAACGUGCCUGGGCGGGGGGGGGGGGGGGGGGGGGGGGGGGGGGCAGCACUGUGCUCACUCCGGCAGAACAAAGGAGGACUCGGGGAGCCUGAAACAGGGAAAGCUAUUCCCACAUAAGGUGAUAAGCCCAUUGUGGCACAGUGGAAACAAAUCUGACUGGUAUCCAUGAGGAUGCGCCUUUGAUCCAUGGCCUCAAUCAGUGGGCUGGGGAUCCGGCGC